rnacentral:tRNA from 1 species
AACUAUUUAGUUUAAUAAAAACAUUAAUUUUGUAAAUUAAAAAUAAAUAAAAUUUAAUAGUUU